GGCGAGGUGCAGGGACUUACCUUCCCAGAGUCCCCAAGUUGCUGGACAGCACCCGCCUGCCCCCUCCAGGAAGAGGCCCAGAGUUCCCAACCCUUCACUCCUUGCUCUGGGCCACCAGCCCAUUUUCCUCUAGUGCAACGUGAACCACAAGAACAUGUCAGUAAGAAAAAGUCAAGGCUUUAAAAUGCAAACUAUUGGGGCGCCUGGGUGGCUCAGUGGGUUAAGCCGCUGCCUUCGGCUCAGGAUUCACACAAAGGAGGGAGUCCGAGUCCCUUUGACCAAACUAAAAUCAGAGCUCCAGCUUCACACAAACAUCAGUGGCUUUGGCAGCAGGAAGAGCAUCCCUAGACCCUGCGUGAGGAGUGCAGCCGGUACACUUGGUUCCUGGGAUCCAGCUUCACUGGGACAGAAGAGGAAAAGACACAGAGAAAGCCAUGUGAAAAUGGAGGCAGAGAUUUGAGUCAUGUAGCCAUAAGCCAAGUGAUCCUGGAGCCACCAGAAGCUAGAAGAAACA